GCCAGGCAUGGUGGCGCAUGCCUGUAAUCCCAGCUUCUCGGGAGGCUGAGGCAGGAGAGUCGCUUGAACCUGGGAGGCGGAGGUUGCAGUGAGCCGAGAUCCUGCCACUGCACUCCAGCCUGGGGGAUAGAGCGAGACUCUGUCUCAA
rnacentral:SRP_RNA from 1 species